rnacentral:rRNA from 1 species
AACGAACGCUGGCGGUAGGCUUAACACAUGCAAGUCGAACGCAUCGCAAGGUGAGUGGCAGACGGGUGAGUAACGCGUGGGAACAUACCCUUUUCUACGGAAUAGCUCUGGGAAACUGGAAUUAAUACCGUAUACGCCCUACGGGGGAAAGAUUUAUCGGGGAAGGAUUGGCCCGCGUUGGAUUAGCUAGUUGGUGGGGUAAAGGCCUACCAAGGCGACGAUCCAUAGCUGGUCUGGGAGGAUGAUCAGCCACAUUGGGACUGAGACACGGCCCAAACUCCUACGGGAGGCAGCAGUGGGGAAUAUUGGACAAUGGGCGCAAGCCUGAUCCAGCCAUGCUGCGUGAGUGAUGAAGGCCUUAGGGUUGUAAAGCUCUUUCACCGAUGAAGAUAAUGACGGUAGUCGGAGAAGAAGCCCCGGCUAACUUCGUGCCAGCCGCCGCGGUAAAAC